GCGAGCGGCGGAUGGGUGAGUAACACGUGGGGAACCUGCCCCUAAGUCUGGGAUACCAUUUGGAAACAGGUGCUAAUACCGGAUAAUAAAGCAGAUCGCAUGAUCAGCUUUUGAAAGGCGGCGUAAGCUGUCGCUAAGGGAUGGCCCCGCGGUGCAUUAGCUAGUUGGUAAGGUAACGGCUUACCAAGGCGACGAUGCAUAGCCGAGUUGAGAGACUGAUCGGCCACAUUGGGACUGAGACACGGCCCAAACUCCUACGGGAGGCAGCAGUAGGGAAUCUUCCACAAUGGACGCAAGUCUGAUGGAGCAACGCCGCGUGAGUGAAGAAGGUUUUCGGAUCGUAAAGCUCUGUUGUUGGUGAAGAAGGAUAGAGGUAGUAACUGGCCUUUAUUUGACGGUAAUCAACCAGAAAGUCACGGCUAACUACGUGCCAGCAGCCGCGGUAAUACGUAGGUGGCAAGCGUUGUCCGGAUUUAUUGGGCGUAAAGCGAGCGCAGGCGGAAAAAUAAGUCUAAUGUGAAAGCCCUCGGCUUAACCGAGGAACUGCAUCGGAAACUGUUUUUCUUGAGUGCAGAAGAGGAGAGUGGAACUCCAUGUGUAGCGGUGGAAUGCGUAGAUAUAUGGAAGAACACCAGUGGCGAAGGCGGCUCUCUGGUCUGCAACUGACGCUGAGGCUCGAAAGCAUGGGUAGCGAACAGGAUUAGAUACCCUGGUAGUCCAUGCCGUAAACGAUGAGUGCUAAGUGUUGGGAGGUUUCCGCCUCUCAGUGCUGCAGCUAACGCAUUAAGCACUCCGUCCUGGGGAGUACGACCGCAA
rnacentral:rRNA from 1 species